rnacentral:rRNA from 1 species
UACGUAGGGCGCAAGCGUUGUCCGGAUUCACUGGGUGUAAAGGGUGCGCAGGCGGUUCUGCAAGUCAGGCGUGAAAGCCCCGGGCUUAACCUGGGAAUGGCGCUUGAAACUACAGGACUGGAGUAUGGCAGAGGGAGGUGGAAUUCCACGUGUAGCGGUGAAAUGCGUAGAUAUGUGGAGGAACACCGAUGGCGAAGGCAGCCCCCUGGGUUAACACUGACGCUCAUGCACGAAAGCGUGGGGAGCAAACAGG